GCAAUAUUUGGUUCCUAUUCUUUGACAAGGAUAAGCUAUUGAGACCAAUCAGAACCUUCCAAUGUGUUUCCAAUGUUCUUGGCUACAUUUCUACUUAAACUCAAACCUCAGGAAGAAUAUAAUCUGUUAAGAUAACUUUUGUUUUUCUCAAACAUUCUCUCUCUGCCUAUCCCAAAAGAAUCAAUCAAUGCUUUAUGUUACUAAGUUCACUGAUUAUGAGGACAAUGUCUGAAGAUUUCAUACACAUAAUAUUGGGAUCUUCCCUUUCCUUGAAUUUCAGAAUAUGUUGGAGCCAAUUUCUAUAACCAAAACGUAGUAUUUGUGUAUCUUUAAAUGAGCUACAAUCCAGAACUGAAAAUGAACUAUACUAAUGGCAUCGCACUUAACAACUUUCAAUGAAGAAAGAAAUAGGUUAGAGUCUAAGUUCAAACACACUUCAAACUCACGUGACCACAGUAAAUCCUACCCUUAAAGCAAGUACAUAUGUGUGUAUUGUUUAUGUUUCUUAUUUUCUGUAUAUUAUGAUGGUUUUGACUCCUUUCUGGCUGGGAAGAGAUUGCCCCUCUAGGGGCCAGCCAACGCUUAGAGAAGGCAAAGGACUCAGCGUGCCUUUCACAUGCAAACUAAACAAUCCACAGCGAUACCUCCUCUACCUGACCCAUACACCCAGGAGGCAAUAUUCCCCUGCCUGGUAUCUACCAGGCAAACUAGGGAUCACUCUUACAGUUUAGAGCCUGUAUACCUAUAACUUAUUCAAAGCUACUAUUAUUACACACCUAUAGCUUAUUAGUAGUAGUAGCAGUAGCAUUUACCUACAGCUAAUGCAAACUAGCGAAUCCUAAACUUGGUUACCCGCCCUGCCUUGCCUUUCCCACAGAUACUCCAGAAACGGCUGCAGCCCGGUCUCUCUUCUAGCUCCUGCCCCUUUGGCCCCUAGACCAACACUGGGGCUUUCUCAUGUGGCCCUGAAUGGCAUGCUGUGCCUCCGAGAACUCAUGAGUAUAAUAAACUUUGUUUUCCUGAGCCCCUCCUGGGUCUCCUUUUCACAUGCACCUGACUGACCACAUAAAAGAACACAGAACUCUGUGUGUGUGUGCGCGUGUGUGUGUCAUUUUCAUUUUAUUUUCCCUUGUUCAGGUGGUCAAUAAAAAAUUAUUACACCUUUAAAAAGAGGUACCUAAAUAAACAAACCUACCAAUUCUGUAUGCAAAAUUAAAUCCUGGACUGGCAGUGUUGCUCAGAUAACACUCAGAAAAGAACAAUGUGACUGAAACUGUAAGGAACAGGUCAAAAACACUCCAUUUAAAAUGUGAACACCUGCUACAGAAUAUUUUGAUUCACAAGUCCAUCUAGGAAAUAUUUUUCUUCCUCCCUCACCUGUUCCCCCACCUAUCUUGCAUUCAACACCAUAAACAGCACUUAUCCCCCAUUAUAAAACAGUUGACGGUUAAAACAAUGAGCCAACCAAGAAAGUAUAAUACUCUAUAACUGACAUUUACUGCAUUGGCCUUGGACUUCUAAUCUUUACCAGACGGGCACACAAAUCAAUCCAUCAGCUCAUAAAGGUGUGCUUUUUUAACCUCUAAAACAGAUGGGAUUGGCCAGAAGUGUCUGGCAUGUCAAACUGCUAAUCACUGCUGCCCUUUGCACAAAAUAACCCACUUAAGUUGAGGCAUGGUUGCACUGUAACCGACAUUAGUCUGUGGGAAACCCAUUUAACUGUCACACACUCCUGCCACUCCUGCUCUCCCUUAAUUAAGCCUAAUGCCUUAUGCUUUGACCUUUUGUUCUAGCCUAUUAACCCUAUCUAGUACAAGUUCAAUUAUGUUAAGCUAAAAACUUUGCUGUAAAAUAUUAAAUGCCAAGCUCAAAAAAUCAUAAGGGACAUCCUCUCAGCCCUAAGUUCUAUUCACCCUGAUACUCAAUACAUUUGAAAGUAAAACCUCACUUUCGAAGUAACGCUGAUACUGAAGCAAGGAGAUGUUGAAUGACUCACCCAUUUCAUAGCUUUUCCGUGGCAAAGCCUCACUAAAACCUAUCUAAUCCCUAGCUCCAAUUCUUUAAUCUCCAUGGUGCUUCUGAUUAAUAGUUAAACCACCCGGAAGUAUGUUAAGGAUACUAACAUUUUCACCCCGAAGUAUUAUCCUUCGCCAUCCUCUAGAAUAUGCUAUGCAAAGAGGCCUAAAACAAA
rnacentral:lncRNA from 1 species